UCCCUGGUAGCUCAGAAGGUAAAGCAUCUGCCUGCAAUUCAGGAGACCUGGGUUUGAUCCCUGGCUCAGGAA
rfam:TPA: Bos taurus chromosome 2, whole genome shotgun sequence.